rnacentral:tRNA from 1 species
CUGGUCGAGCAUGGCGCGGACCCGGGCGGCCGGUUUGCGCCCGGCGAGGGUGGCCGCCCAACUGGCGGCGGCGAUCCACUCGCCGCUGGCCAGU